GAUGAACGCUGGCGGCGUGCCUAAUACAUGCAAGUCGAGCGAACAGACGAGGAGCUUGCUCCUCUGACGUUAGCGGCGGACGGGUGAGUAACACGUGGAUAACCUACCUAUAAGACUGGGAUAACUUCGGGAAACCGGAGCUAAUACCGGAUAAUAUAUUGAACCGCAUGGUUCAAUAGUGAAAGACGGUUUUGCUGUCACUUAUAGAUGGAUCCGCGCCGCAUUAGCUAGUUGGUAAGGUAACGGCUUACCAAGGCGACGAUGCGUAGCCGACCUGAGAGGGGGAACCGCCCCAAUUGAAAUGAGACACGGGCCCGACCUCUACGGGGGGGCAGCGUGGGGGAUCUUCGCGAAAGGGGGGAAACCUGAACGAGGAAAGGCGGGGGGGGGAAUGAAGGUCUUGGGUUGGAAAAACCUUUUUAUAGGGAAAAAAAAAAUGGGGAAGAAAUUAUGCACGUCUGGCGGGUCCCUAAUCAGAAGGCCCGGCUAAACUCGGG
rnacentral:rRNA from 1 species